rnacentral:rRNA from 1 species
GGAAUCUUGGACAAUGGGGGCAACCCUGAUCCAGCAAUGCCGCGUGUGUGAAGAAGGCCUGCGGGUUGUAAAGCACUUUCAGAGGGGAAGAAAAACUCGGAGAUAACAUCUCCGGUCUUGACGUUACCCUUAGAAGAAGCACCGGCUAACUCCGUGCCAGCAGCCGCGGUAAUACAGAGGGUGCAAGCGUUAAUCGGAAUUACUGGGCGGAAAGCGCGCGUAGGUGGGUUGUUAAGUUGGAUGUGAAAGCCCCGGGCUCAACCUGGGAACUGCAUUCAAAACUGACAAGCUAGAGUAUGGUAGAGGGUGGUGGAAUUUCCUGUGUAGCGGUGAAAUGCGUAGAUAUAGGAAGGAACACCAGUGGCGAAGGCGACCACCUGGACUGAUACUGACACUGAGGUGCGAAAGCGUGGGGAGCAAAC